rnacentral:rRNA from 1 species
ACGCACGCUGGCGGCGUGCUUCACACAUGCCAGUCGAACGGAAAGGCCUUUUCGGAGGUACUCGAGUGGCGAACGGGUGAGUAACACGUGGGUGAUCUGCCCUGCACUCUGGGAUAAGCCUGGGAAACUGGGUCUAAUACCGGAUAGGACCGCACUUUAGUGUGUGUGGUGGAAAGUUUUUUCGGUGUAGGAUGAGCCCGCGGCCUAUCAGCUUGUUGGUGGGGUAAUGGCCUACCAAGGCGGCGACGGGUAGCCGGACUGAGAGGUUGGUCGGCCACAUUGGGACUGAGAUACGGCCCAGACUCCUACGGGAGGCAGCAGUGGGGAAUAUUGCACAAUGGGCGCAAGCCUGAUGCAGCGACGCCGCGUGGGGGAUGACGGCCUUCGGGUUGUAAACUCCUUUCGCCAGGGACGAAGCGUUUUGUGACGGUACCUGGAGAAGAAGCACCGGCUAACUACGUG